UAAGCCGUGAGGAAGGUGGGGACGACGUCAAGUCAUCAUGGCCUUUAUGCCCAGGGCUACACACGUGCUACAAUGGUGCAUACAGAGGGCAGCCAGCCUGCGAAGGUGAGCGAAUCUCAGAAAGUGCAUCUCAGUUCGGAUCGGAGUCUGGAACUCGACUCCGUGAAGUUGGAAUCGCUAGUAAUCGCGUAUCAGCCAUGACGCGGUGAAUACGUUCCCGGACCUUGUACACACCGCCCGUCAAACCAUGGGAGCCGGAAGUGCCUGAAGACGGUGGCAAUAAAAUGAGCUGUCUAGGGUAAAGUCGGUAACUGGGGUUAAGUCGUAACAAGGUAGCCGUACCGGAAGGUGCGGCUGGAAUACCUCCUUU
rnacentral:rRNA from 1 species